AUGACUAACUGGCUACUGCUAACACAAUUUGUCGUCAUAGCGUGAUCCAGGCUGAACUGCAAAUAGCAUCACCUGAUUAGCCAAAGACGGGGCCGGGGGGCGGCCGCAGGUCCUCGUCGCCGCCUUCCGAGAAUUCCGUCACACGCGCUUUGGGCGCUGGCGGCCUUGCCGUCGAGCGUUUGACGGGAGCGGGAUCGAUCAUGCGGUACGGAUGUAUAAUAAGCACAUCAAGUGCUCACAUCUCUGGAAAAUCUAUUCUUUUUCCCCAUGUCGUUGGUAGCCAAGAUGUAAUGUGGUCUGUUUAUUUACUCAUCUGCAAAGGGCACGAGGUGCUUGGAAGCGGGGAAUGAAGACAACGGCGAAAACUGCAUGCUGACAUCAGACGUCACAAUAAAGUUACAGCAAUGACACAACCUGGUCUGCGCUGACCAACCUGACAGAGAAAGGACAGGGAGACACGGCAUAGUGAGGACUACUCUUGUUCCCCCAUGGUAACAAGUUCCCUGGCAGAAACACAGUCGGGGUCAAGUCCUCGUCGAAGCCGAUGUCACUUCCUGCCCCGGCCCGCCACGUUGCCGUGGCAGCCGGCAUCCUCUUCCUCCCUCGUGUGUGAUAAGUCUGUUGCCAUGGCAGCUUUUCCUGACGAGUGAACCGACGGUGCCCCCCUCGUCCACCGAGGACCGCGUGUCUUCAUCUGUCGCCAUGGCGACGUGGAGUCUGUUCCUUUAUCUGGCGAGCGGCGUCGUAUUGAGCCGCCGAGCGUUCAAAGGCGGAGAAGCGAAUUUGGGGCGAGGCGGUGAUGCGGAAGCGCGCUUGUUCACUUCCCGCAAGCUGCUGGGAUGCGAGUGAGCCUGCACGAUCACGCUGCGGGAGGCUCUUAACACACCACCACCGGCUUGAUGGAUUCAUGAGCGUGUGUCAGCACAAAAUUUUGUGGAAUUUCUGACAAGAAGUUAAGUCGACCCAGGACACUGAUUAAAAUAUGUAUUUAUUAAAAUUAUUUGAAUUUAUUUUUAAAAGUUAUUUAUAUUAUAUUUAUUGUGUAGGCGGCACGGUGGCCGACUGGUCAGCUGAGCGUCAGCCUCACAGUUCUGAGGUGCGGGGUUCAAUCCCCGUCCCUGCCUGUGUGGAGUUUGCAUGUUCUCCCCGUGUCUGCGUGGGUUUUCUACGGGCACUCCG